UUCCCAGUUGAAGUUACUCAGUCAGUCAAUUACCCACUCAGUCAAUUGCACCUUAUCAGGAUAAUUAGCGUGGCAAUAGAAUAUGCCUAGGUUGAAAAAACAAAGCAUGGUCCAAAGAAGGGCAAAUCAGAAGAAGAUGAUCAAGAAAAGUCGCAAGAGGGUGACUAAGAAUGCCACGACUACUAUUGUGCCUGCUUCGGCAGGCACGCCCACCUCGGUGGGCUCUGUGAAAAACUGUGAAAUUACUGAUAUUACUGAUAGAAGCAGUGAAAUUACUGAUAUUACUGAUAGAAGCAGUGAAAUUACUGAUAGACACAGUGAAAAUACUGAAAAAAACAGUGAAAUUACUGAAAACACUGAAAAAAGUGAAAAUAAUGCAGUUACUGAAAACACUGAAUUUCCUGAACACACUGACAUUCCCAUUGCUUCAGAUGUUACUGUUCAUGCAGCUUAUACAGAUGCUUCAGAUAAGACAGAUGCUACAGUUGACACAGCCUAUCCUGUCAGUUUGAGUGCCACUGAUGCCCCUGGUCAUUCAA